AGUGCAUCCCGGCCACGGCGCGCCUGCUCUGGGCUCUCCGCGUGCCGCGUCGCUUUCUUUUCUUCCUCUGGAGCAGUUAUGGCGGCGGCGAAGACCCUGAACCCCAAGGCCAAGGUGGCCGGAGCGCAGGCGGCGCUGGCGUUCAACAUUAGCGGGGCGCGGGGUCUGCAGGACGUGCUGAGGACCAACCUGGGGCCCAAAGGGACCAUAAAGAUUCUUGUUUCUGGCGCUGGAGACAUCAAGCUUACUAAAGACACAGGAGUUGACGAUCAGCCCUGGCCAACAUGGUGAAACUCAGUCUCUACUAAAAAUACAAAAAUUAGCCGGGCACGGUCCUGCACAGUGCGCUGCUUCACGAAAUGCAAAUUCAACACCCAACAGCUUCCUUAAUAGCAAAGGUAGCAACAGCCCAGGAUGAUAUAACUGGUGAUGGUACGACUUCCAAUGUCCUAAUCAUUGGAGAGCUGCUGAAACAGGCAGAUCUCUACAUUUCUGAAGGCCUUCAUCCCAGAAUAAUCACUGAAGGAUUUGAAGCUGUGAAGGAAAAGCCCUUCAUUUUUUGGAAGAAGUCAAAGUAAGCAGAGAGAUGGACAAGGAAACACUUAAAGAUGUGGCCAGGGCAUCUCUUUGUACUAAAGUUCAUGCUGAACUUGCAGAUGUCUUAACAGAGGCUGUAGUGGGCUCCAUUUUGGCCAUUAAAAGAAAAGAUGAACCUAUUGAUCUCUUCAUGAUUUUGUGAUCAUUGACAAGAAACAUAAAUCUGAAACUGAUACAAGAGAAGUGAAUUCUGGCGUUUUUUACAAGAGUGCAGAAAGAGAAAAACUCAUAAAAGCUGAAAGAAAAUUCAUUGAAGAUAGAGUUAAAACAAAUAAUAGAACUGAAAAGGAAAGUCUGUAGUAAUUCAGAUAAAGGAUUUGUUAUUAAUCAAAAGGGAAUUGACCCCUUUUCCUUAGAUGCUCUUUCAAAGAAGGCAUAGUCGCUCUUCACAGAGCUAAAAGGAGGAAUAUGGAGAGGCUGACUCUUGCUUGUGGUGGGGUGGCCCUGAAUUCUUUUGAGGACCUAAGUCCUGACUGCUUGAGACAUGCAGGACUUGUAUAUGAGUAUACAUUGGGAGAAGUUCACCUUUAUUGAGAAGUGUAACAACCCUCGUUCUGUCACAUUAUUGAUCAAAGGACCAAAUAAGCCCACACUUAGAUCAAAGAUGCAGUAAGGGAUGGCUUGAGGGCUGUCAAAAAUGCUAUUGAUGAUGGCUGUGUGGUUCCGGUGCUGGUGCCGUGGAAGUGGCAAUGGCAGAAGCCCUGAAUAAAUAUAAGCUCAGUGUAAAGGGCAAGGCACAGCUUGGAGUCCAAGCAUUUGCUGAUGUGUUGCUCGUUAUUCCCAAGGUUCUUGCGCAGAAUUCUGGUUUUGACCUUCAGGAAACAUUAGUUAAAAUUUAAGCAGAACAUUCAGAAUCAGGUCAGCUCGUGGGUGUGGACCUGAACACAGGUGAGCCCGUGGUAGCAGCAGAAGCAGGCAUUAUGGGAUAACGAUUGUGUAAAGAAACAGCUUCUUCAUUCCUGCACUGGUUGCCACCAACAUUCUCUUGGUUGAUGAGAUCAUGCGAGCUGGAAUCUUCUCUGAAAGGUUGAAUUGAAGCUUCCUCUGUAUCUGAGUCUUGAAGACUCUGCAAAGUGAUCCUGAAGAAUACAGCUGUGGAAUUUUUGUCCAAGCUUCAAAUGAGUUUCAAGGGAAUUUUCCCAUGUGAAAAAAGGAGAGAACACUGGCAUCUGUUGAAAUUCGGAAGUUCUGAAAUUAUAAUCACAGUAUUUUUUAAAAAUUGCACUGAAGUGUACACAGAUAAAGCAGGUCUUUCACCCAGUGAACAGGAUGUUUUGCUUUAGCAGCAGUGACAUAAAAUUCCAUGUUAAAUAAGCAUAUAUUACCUACCUUAUUAAAUAUUCCUUGAAAAAGCA
rnacentral:lncRNA from 1 species